GCGGGUGUAGCUCAGGGGUAGAGCACAACCUUGCCAAGGUUGGGGUCGAGCGUUCGAAUCGCUUCACCCGCUCCA
rnacentral:tRNA from 516 species